rnacentral:misc_RNA from 1 species
GAUGAAGAACGUAGCGAAAUGCGAUACUUGGUGUGAAUUGCAGAAUCCCGUGAACCAUCGAGUCUUUGAACGCAAGUUGCGCCCGAAGCCAUUAGGCCGAGGGCACGCCUGCCUGGGCGUCACACGUCGUUGCCCCCCCAUCUACUCCUUCGGGAUUGCGGGGGGCGGAUGAUGGCCUCCCGUGCGCCUCGCCGCGCGGUUGGCAUAAAUGCCAAGUCCUCGGCGACGCACGCCACGACAAUCGGUGGUUGCGAAACCUCGGUUGCCCGUCGUGUGCGGUCGUCGCGCAUCGAGGGCUCGAAAAAAUUGCCGGGUUCCGGCUCGGCUUUCAACGCGACCCCAGGUUAGGCGGGGUUACCCGCUGAAUUUAAGCAUAUCAAUAAGCGGAGGA